AUUGAACGCUGGCGGCAUGCUUUACACAUGCAAGUCGAACGGCAGCGCGGGCUUCGUCCUGGCGGCGAGUGGCGAACGGGUGAGUAAUGCAUCGGAACGUGCCCAGUAGUGGGGGAUAGCCCGGCGAAAGCCGGAUUAAUACCGCAUACGACCUGAUGGUGAAAGCGGGGGACCGAAAGGCCUCUCGCUUUUUGAUCUGCCGAUGUCGGAUUAGCUCGUUGGUGGGGUAAAGGCUUACCAAGGCGACGAUCCGUAGCUGGUCUGAGAGGACGACCAGCCACACUGGGACUGAGACAAGGCCCAGACUCCUACGGGAGGCAGCAGUGGGGAAUGUUGGACAAUGGGGGCAACCCUGAUACAGCCAUGCCGCGUGCGGGAAGAAGGACUUCGGGUUGUAAACCGCUUUUGUUCGGGAAGAAAUCCUCUGGGCUAAUACCCCGGGGGGAUGACGGUACCGGAAGAAUAAGCACCGGCUAACUACGUG
rnacentral:rRNA from 1 species